rnacentral:lncRNA from 1 species
GAUCAUUUGCCCGAGAGGAGCAGGCUGCUGCUAUCUCAUUUGCCGACCUCCUCCUCCCCAUCGUCGCCAUUGCCAAGAACCUUCCCGGAAGCGGCAAGUGAACUUCCCACGCAAUCCCGAGCCCAGAACCGGCGGCCACACUACAAGAAGGAAGAAGCGCCGGUUCUCUGCAGCCUGCACCGCGCAGGAUUCCCCCCUCUCGGGCCGCCGAUCCCUCGUCCGUCGCCCAUGGAUCUGCUCAAGAAGAUCUCCUCCGCGCUCGGCUGCUGGGAAAAGAUCGGUGGCGCGGUCCUCGACACCGUCUACUCCACGGGGCUCCGCCUGUGGAACGUCGAGGAGGAGGCCGAGAAGCUGCGCCGCACGGAAAAGCGCAUCCGCGCGGUGCUCACCGACGCCGAGCAGCGCCGCUUCAUCGACGACGACUUCUUGAAGCUCUGGCUCCAGGAGUUGAGGGCCAUGGCCUUCGACGUCGACGCCCUGCUUGACCGCCUCACCACCAUGGCCGCCGUGUCCAGGAUGGCUGCCGCGGAAACGUCGCGGAAGCGGAAGAGGCUCAGGCUCAACAUCGACCUCGGCCUGCGGUGCAAAGUCUUUGAAAAAUAUUGUAAAAAAGAGAGUUGGCAGGAGAGGGGCACUGUUGCUGGUUAGCUCUUGAACCAGAGGUGCUGAUGACACCGCCGGACAGCCUUCAUGAGGGCCGGACAGCCUUCAUGGGGUGGGUGCUGAGACACACCGCGGCUAAAGCCUACUUGAACAUCCCCGUCCAAUCAACUCUGCCCCCCAAAGUAUGAGGUAACAGGUCUGCACUACCAGACCCGGCGGGAAAAAGAUAGCACACCAUGUUUUAUCCAGAUCCUAAUGUGUCAAAAUUUCCCGUUUGGGACUAAAAUGCGUUGCGCCGCCCAGAAAGUCCGGGUAAGGUUCACGCCCGACUUCACCUGACCUCCGCGCGUUCGAUCAUUUGCCCGAGAGGAGCAGGCUGCUGCUAUCUCAUUUGCCGACCUCCUCCUCCCCAUCGUCGCCAUUGCCAAGAACCUUCCCGGAAGCGGCAAGUGAACUUCCCACGCAAUCCCGAGCCCAGAACCGGCGGCCACACUACAAGAAGGAAGAAGCGCCGGUUCUCUGCAGCCUGCACCGCGCAGGAUUCCCCCCUCUCGGGCCGCCGAUCCCUCGUCCGUCGC